rnacentral:rRNA from 1 species
CAGCAGCCGCGGUAAUACGAGGGGGGCUAGCGUUGUUCGGAAUUACUGGGCGUAAAGCGCACGUAGGCGGAUUGUUAAGUCAGGGGUGAAAUCCCGAGGCUCAACCUCGGAACUGCCUUUGAUACUGGAGAUCUUGAGUUCGGAAGAGGUUGGUGGAACAGCUAGUGUAGAGGUGAAAUUCGUAGAUAUUAGCUAGAACACCAGUGGCGAAGGCGGCCAACUGGUCCGAUACUGACGCUGAGGUGCGAAAGCGUGGGGAGCAAACAGGAUUAGAUACCCGUGUAGUCCCUGUCUCUUAUAC